AUUGAACGCUGGCGGCAUGCUUUACACAUGCAAGUCGAACGGCAGCGCGGGCUUCGGCCUGGCGGCGAGUGGCGAACGGGUGAGUAAUACAUCGGAACGUGCCCAGUAGUGGGGGAUAGCUCGGCGAAAGCCGGAUUAGUACCGCAUACGACCUGAGGGUGAAAGCGGGGGAUCUUCGGACCUCGCGCUAUUGGAGCGGCCGAUGGCAGAUUAGCUAGUUGGUGGGGUAAAGGCCUACCAAGGCGACGAUCUGUAGCUGGUCUGAGAGGACGACCAGCCACACUGGGACUGAGACACGGCCCAGACUCCUACGGGAGGCAGCAGUGGGGAAUUUUGGACAAUGGGCGAAAGCCUGAUCCAGCAAUGCCGCGUGUGUGAUGAAGGCCUUCGGGUUGUAAAGCACUUUUGGCGGGAACGAAAAGGACUGUGCCAAUACCACGGUUCGAUGACGGUACCCGCAGAAUAAGCACCGGCUAACUACGU
rnacentral:rRNA from 1 species